rnacentral:pre_miRNA from 1 species
GAUUUCAACUGAAAAAGCCAUCAACAACAAAGUUGUAUAAUUCAUCAAGAUCUAUAACUUUUAUUUUGAUCAUUUCUUCAUCCGACAAAGUGAUAGUAAUAUUGUUCACAAAAUUAACAUAUCUCUCAUAUGAUUUUAUAAACUAUAAGAGACAUGCUUUUUUUUGUGAACAAUGUUACUCUCACUUUGUCGGAUGAAUAAAUGAUCAAAAUAAAAGUUGUAUGUCUUGAUGAGUUCUACAACGUUUAUGUUCGUGACUUUUUCAGCUGAAAUU